rnacentral:rRNA from 1 species
AUGUGGAACAAGACCGACAAUACCUUGCCAGUGAUGGUCAACGGCCGGCAGACGGGCAGCAAAAAAGGUUCUGGUGCUGCACACCAACAAGAACUUCGAUCAGUAGAGAACCAACUGGGUGAUGCACCAGUACCACUCGGGGACCUGGAGCAAGAGAAGGAGCGGGAGAUGGUCCUCUGCAAGAUUUUCUACCAAACAAACACUAGGGCCAGGAGUCGAGCAAGUUUCAACUGGGCUGUAAACUGCCCAGGGUUGGUUUUGUUUUUAACAAGCCGAGCCCAUGACGACAACGGGGCACAAAGAUCCAGCAGGUCGUGGGCAGCUCGGGCGCCGCCGGUGCCCGUGCUCAUACGUGCCCGAACGAGCUACGGCGACUGA